AUUGAACGCUGGCGGCAUGCCUUACACAUGCAAGUCGAACGGCAGCACGGGAGCUUGCUCCUGGUGGCGAGUGGCGAACGGGUGAGUAAUACAUCGGAACGUACCCAGUAGUGGGGGAUAACGCACCGAAAGGUUCGCUAAUACCGCAUACGACCUACGGGUGAAAGCGGGGGACCGUAAGGCCUCGCGCUAUUGGAACGGCCGAUGUCUGAUUAGCUAGUUGGCGGGGUAAUAGCCCACCAAGGCGACGAUCAGUAGCUGGUCUGAGAGGACGAUCAGCCACACUGGGACUGAGACACGGCCCAGACUCCUACGGGAGGCAGCAGUGGGGAAUUUUGGACAAUGGGGGCAACCCUGAUCCAGCAAUGCCGCGUGUGCGAAGAUGGCCUUCGGGUUGUAAAGCACUUUUGUCAGGGAAGAAAUCUUUCAGGCUAAUACCCUUGGAAGGAUGACGGUACCUGAAGAAUAAGCACCGGCUAACUACGUGCCAGCCGCCGCCGUAA
rnacentral:rRNA from 1 species